rnacentral:rRNA from 1 species
GGUUGACCUCGGAUCAGGUAGGGAUACCCGCUGAACUUAAGCAUAUCAAUAAGCGGAGGAAAAGAAACCAACCGGGAUUGCCUCAGUAACGGCGAGUGAAGCGGCAAGAGCUCAAAUUUGAAAGCUGGCUCCUUCGGGGUCCGCAUUGUAAUUUGCAGAGGAUGCUUUGGGUGCGGCCCCCGUCUAAGUGCCCUGGAACGGGCCGUCAGAGAGGGUGAGAAUCCCGUCU